rnacentral:ncRNA from 2 species
UACCGAUUGAAUGGCUCAGUGAGGCGUCCGGACUGGCCCAGAGAGGUGGGCAACUACCACUCAGGGCCGGAAAGCUCUCCAAACUCGGUCAUUUAGAGGAAGUAAAAGUCGUAACAAGGUCUCCGUUGGUGAACCAGCGGAGGGAUCAUUACCGAGUUUACAACUCCCAAACCCCUGUGAACAUACCACUUGUUGCCUCGGCGGAUCAGCCCGCUCCCGGUAAAACGGGACGGCCCGCCAGAGGACCCCUAAACUCUGUUUCUAUAUGUAACUUCUGAGUAAAACCAUAAAUAAAUCAAAACUUUCAACAACGGAUCUCUUGGUUCUGGCAUCGAUGAAGAACGCAGCAAAAUGCGAUAAGUAAUGUGAAUUGCAGAAUUCAGUGAAUCAUCGAAUCUUUGAACGCACAUUGCGCCCGCCAGUAUUCUGGCGGGCAUGCCUGUUCGAGCGUCAUUUCAACCCUCAAGCACAGCUUGGUGUUGGGACUCGCGUUAAUUCGCGUUCCUCAAAUUGAUUGGCGGUCACGUCGAGCUUCCAUAGCGUAGUAGUAAAACCCUCGUUACUGGUAAUCGUCGCGGCCACGCCGUUAAACCCCAACUUCUGAAUGUUGACCUCGGAUCAGGUAGGAAUACCCGCUGAACUUAAG